rnacentral:rRNA from 1 species
UAACGGAGCCGUAGCGAAAGCGAGUCCGAAUAGGGCGAUUUAGUCUGUGGGGGCAGACGCGAAACUUUGUGAUCUAUCCAUGGGCAGGCUGAAGGUGUGGUAACACACACUGGAGGGCCGAACCCGUUAACGUUGAAAAGUUCUGGGAUGACCUGUGGAUAGGGGUGAAAGGCCAAUCAAACUGAGAGAUAGCUCGUUCUCCCCGAAAUGUUUUUAGGAACAGCGUUGCAUAAUAGAAGUUUACCAGAGGUAGAGCUACUGAUUGGGCUAGGGGGCUUCACCGCCUACCAAACCCUGACAAACUCCGAAUGCUCAUAGAUAUCUGCAGCAGUGAGGCUGUGGGCGCUAAGGUCCAUGGCCGAGAGGGAAAUAACCCAGAAUAGCAGCUAAGGUCCCUAAUACAUGGUUAAGUUGAUCAAACGAGGUGGAGUUUCUAUAACAGCCAGGAUGUUGGCUUGGAAGCAGCCAUUCAUUUAAAGAGUGCGUAACAGCUCACUGGUCGAGAGACCCUGCACGGAAAAUAAUCGGGCAUCAAACUACGAACCGAAGCUUUAUGAUUGCACUUUGAGUGUAUAUCGGUAGGGGAGCAUUGAAAUCUGCAUCGAAGGUGAUGGGUGACCAUUGCUGGAGCGAUUUCAAAAGAAAAUGUAGGCAUAAGUAACGAUAAAUAAGGUGAAAAACCUUAUCGCCGAAAGUCUAAGGGUUCCUGAUCAACGUUAAUCGGAUCAGGGUUAGUCUGGUCCUUAGGUGAACCCGAAAGGGGUAGCUGAUGGAAAGCUGGUUAAUAUUCCAGCACCAGCAUUAGUUUCGAUGGGGUGACGCGGUAGUGAAACGUCCGCCUUCUUACGGAAUAGAAGGUUAAAGGGUGUAGUUAUUUGCUCUGUAGGUAAAUCCGCAGAGUAAGGCGAACCUGAUAGUACACUGAGGCUUCGGCCAAGGCGAUAGUGACGCUAAUCAAACCGCCGAGAAAAACCUCUAAGGUUAGGCUAAUGCUGCCAGUACCGCAAACCGACACAGGUAGACGGGAUGAAUAUUCUAAGGCGCUCGGGUGAGCCGUGGAGAAGGAACUAGGCAAAUUGACGCUGUAACUUCGGGAUAAAGCGUACCGCAGCGAUGCGGUCACAGUAAAAUGGUUCAACCAACUGUUUAACAAAAACACAGGGCCCUGCAAAAUCGAAAGAUGACGUAUAGAGCCUGAUACCUGCCCGGUGCUGGAAGGUUAAGGAAGGGUGUUCGGGGCGCAAGCUCCAAAGCUCCUGACUGAAGCCCCAGUAAACGGCGGCCGUAACUAUAACGGUCCUAAGGUAGCGAAAU